GACGAACGCUGGCGGCGUGCUUAACACAUGCAAGUCGAACGGAAAGGCCCUGCUUUUUUGGGGUGCUCGAGUGGCGAACGGGUGAGUAACACGUGAGUAACCUGCCCUUGACUUUGGGAUAACUUCAGGAAACUGGGGCUAAUACCGGAUAGGAGCUCCUGCUGCAUGGUGGGGGUGGGAAAGUUUCGGCGGUUGGGGGGGGACGCGCGGCUUAUCAGCUUGUUGGUGGGGUAGUGGCUUACCAAGGCUUUGACGGGUAGCCGGCCUGAGAGGGUGACCGGCCACAUUGGGACUGAGAUACGGCCCAGACUCCUACGGGAGGCAGCAGUGGGGAAUAUUGCACAAUGGGCGGAAGCCUGAUGCAGCAACGCCGCGUGCGGGAUGACGGCCUUCGGGUUGUAAACCGCUUUCGCCUGUGACGAAGCGUGAGUGACGGUAAUGGGUAAAGAAGCACCGGCUAACUACGUG
rnacentral:rRNA from 1 species